CUUUAAAUACAAAUAAAUAAGAACAACAAACCACGUUUUUAUAAAAUAAUGUGAGUGAAAUUUAGCAGUUUCAUCUAUUUCAGGGGACUUUUUUUUCCCUUUCAGAGCUUCAGUUUUACUUCAGGUUCACAACUCUUACCCAGAGUGCUGAGUUUACCAGAAAACUAACCUCUAGAUAAAUUUACUGUCUUUUUAAGUACAUUUUUAAACUUCAGAAGUUUGUUAUACCAGAUUUUAAAUGAAAGAAUAAUUAUAUUUCAACAUUUAUAGUUUUAAAUCUUUGAUGGGCACUAUUAUUUCACUGUCCUAUCUUCAUGAGCAUCUAGUAAAGGUUGGGUAAAUAUACUCUCCUUCUUUGCCCAGUCUCAAUCAAAUUAAAAUUCUAGAACUUUGAAAUAGUUUUUCUUUCAUCUUUUAUUUUGACUUCCUUUACCUGAACUGCCUAUACUGACUUUCCUAUGGUUAACCUUUCCAAACUGUUUCUCAUCACUAAGACACACAUAUACAAAAAUACAUACUUGUUACCUAUCCAUCAAGCUUUACUUAUAACAUGAUUUAAUGGAAAGAAAAUAAAAUUUGAAUUAGAGGGCCUUAUGAGCCUCAAGCACAUUAUUUAUUUAUUUAUUUAUUUAGGUGAGGCAAUGGCAAUUAAGUGACUUGCCCAGGGUCACACAGCUAUUAAGUGUUAAGUAUUUGAGGUCCCAUUUAAAUUUAGGUCCUCCUGAUUUCAGGGUGGUCUAUUCACUGUGCCAUCUAGCUACCCCCUCUCCAAGUCUAUUAUUUACCACCUGGGUAACUGGGCAAGUCACUUGAAUUUUCUGAACCUCAAUAUCAAAAUGAUAGGUUUUUAACUAAAGGACCUAUGAAAUUUCUAAAAAAGAAAUCCGAGAGUUCUAAAAGAUAUGAUCCUAUUCUGUAAAAUUAUCAUUAACAAAAGCAAGAUGUCUCUGCUUUUAGAAGCCUUGAACUUAUUUGAAUAAUUAAAAAGGCAUUUACUAUGGACUUACUGUGUGUCAGGCACAGGGCUUACAUUCCAAUAGGUAAACUGACAAGAUUGGACUAAAUCUUUGAAAGAGUUUCUUUCAGCUAAAAAUACUAUAAAUAUUCUAGUUCACAAAAGAUGCCCAACAUGUGUUUUGUUGUUUUCUUUCUUUCUUUUUUUAAACAAAUUUAGCAAAUACCAAGCACAUUCAAAUAAACAAAUACAGAUAUAUGUAUGUAGUAUACACACUACACACAAAACCUAUCAUACAUACAUAAACAUGUAUGUAGGCACAUACAGAUAAGCAUAGAGAUAUCUAACUCUAUAUACAUUUAAACAUGUAUGUAAUGUGUGUGUUUAUAUUGUAUAUAUUUUACACAUAUGAUAUAUGUGUACAUAGAAUCUACUUACAUGCAUACACACAUAUAUAUGUAUAUAAUUUUGAGACAGGACAUUCUAGGAAGGAGAAAAAAACUGAUAAUUCAAUUUUCUUGACAAAUAUUUUAUAAACACUGCUUAUGUAUAAGACUUUAUGCUAGGUCCUAAAGAUUUCUUUGGAAAAAAAAUUAAAUUGUCCUUGGCCUCAAGGAGCUUUCAUUCUUCUGGCUCAUAGGAUACUUUUAAAUAUACUUUUGUUGAAUUAAAAGUAUAGUCCACCAUAGACCAUUUGUUCCUUUCCAAAGCAGUUUAUUUGCCCUCCAUAAAGGAAGGCUAUGGGAGGUAUUUGAUACACUACUCUCCCCUACUCCAAUUAUAUCUCUGCAUAUUAAUCAUAGGAAUAUCACUAUUUAAAAUGUCAUUUUCAUUUAUUGUUUUACAGUUCCUGGGUUUUUUUCCCCAUGGAUAUUUAUGAUUUAUAAACACAAAUUGAGCAUCUUUCACUAGAGAAAGGGUUGAGGGGUACAGGAACCUCUUCUCACCCACUGUAGAAGGCUUCCUAUAUAAGGUACAACAUCUGACUUUGGCAUGAAAUUAGAAGGUUGUUCUUCCAAUAGAGAGCACAUCAAAAUACCGGUUCUUAGCCAUCAACGAACUCAUAUAUGUACAAGAACUUGGGUUCCUUCAAUAAAUCCUAUAUGCUAUCUAUUUGACAAUCAUAAAAUCUUUUUGCUUUUGAGAAUUCUAUUAUCAACUAUCUUUUGUCAAGAAGAAAAAUGGCUCUCCCAGAAUUGAAAAACCUGAGUGUUUUCACAUCUUUGUAAAUCUACAGGAAGGUAUAUAAUUUGAAGGUUUUCUUCCCACUGACAAUGAAAAGAAAGCUAUUGGAAGCAGAUGGCUGUCUCAAUUUUUCAUCUUUCCUCUGGGACAGAAUUUAUUAAUUCCAUUGAAAAAUCUUUGUUUAAUCCAUUUUUUAAAAAAUCAAUUACAUUCAACAAAGCAUUUAUUAAUGCUCACUGUGUUACUAGUCACUGGGAUUAGAGAGAAAAAUUAAAUGUCUCCUGCCCUCAAGAAGCUUAUUUUCUGAUUUCUUCUUGGUAGAUACAUAUUUCUAAACAAGUCAAACUUCAAUGGGAAAACAACAUUUCAAAAGAAGGCUAGUAAGAGGUAUUUUGAGGAAGAAAAAAAAAGUAGUUUAAAAUAAUACCUUACGCAAUUUCAUUUUAAGGAACUAAACUUGUUUCCCCUUUCACUUAGAAGUAUAAAAGCAUAUGAAUGAAUAAAAUGUAUCAGCUAAAUAAGUUUGAGGUUAUACCUCUUCCAUUGGGGGGGGGGGGGCGGGGUUGUGGGCUUUUUUGGCCUGAUUCUACGUAAGUAAAUACCCAUUGAGAUCCAGUAGUCCUCAAUUAGUUUUGGUUAAAAUAUUCCACCAUUACUGAGUUCCUAAAAGUUCCUGGGGAAGUCCUAGUACAUGAUUGCUGAGAUGGCUCAUAAAAGCCUAUCUGAAGCAAAGUCCAAAGCCUACUACAAGUGUUAUCACAUCUCUCUUUUUUCCAGCCUGUGAACUUUUUAAAAAUUCUGAAUUAAAGAACAAUUAAAGAAAACACAUUUCUACAUGUACAGUAAAAAUAUUUGUAUAUGAAACCAUGAGUGUCUAUAACAUAAAGCUUGCUUUAAAAAUGUUAUAAAUUCUAU
ensembl:lncRNA